UCCCACCUUCUAAUUAAGUCGGUCGCUUCUCCCAUUCUCCCAUUUCCCACAACUGUGUUGAAAAUUGGACGUGACCUUUGUAGAAGAUUUCAUCAGCAGAAAUAGGUGAAACUUCAAAUUUUGUAUUAACAAAAGCAAAUUCAAAAUCAUCAUCACCGUUUUCAUCCUUAUCCAGUUCAGCUUUCUCUUUCAAAAUCUGUGCACAACUGAAUGUCUCAUUAUUAUCAUUGAAAAAAAAUUCGAAAUCUAUUUCAUCUUCAGUGUUGGAUUCUUCGAUAACUCUAACAGCAAUUUCGGUGAGAUUGGUGUUGGAAUUAUAACUUGGAGACUUCAGGGACAACAUCGGUUAUCAUUUCUUUUCUACAAGGAGAUAUUGAUAAAGGAGGCAGUUAAGCUUACACCCAAUAUAUAUACUUUGACCAUUAAGAAACUGAAUUUGAGGAAUUGAAUAGGAAGGUAGCGAAGAUUACUGAGUUGUAUCUUCAAGAAAGGGCUGCAAGGGAAGAAGAGGCAAAGCGAAGGGAGGAAGAAGAUAGGUGAAGAGAGGAAGAGGAAAAGCGAAGGGAGGAAAAAAUGAGGCAAAAGGACGAUGCAUUAAAACUUGUCACUAGUGAUGCUAAAAGUCUCAAGUCUCAGAUAAACUCCCUCUUAGCAUCUGGUGCAUUUUCUGUGCCCCGUUCUCCACCAUAUGAUGAUAACUAAGGAGUAGUUUCUUUUAUUAGCUUGUCUUGGAUGGUACCUGGAUGUUGAACAUUGAAUGUUGGAUUUUUUUGAGUUUUUGUUCUACUUUCUGAUUAGUUGGAUAUUGAUUAUGAAAUGGAUUGAUUAGUUGUUGUUUAUGAAAUGAAUUGUAUUGCAUAUUGAA